GAUAAUGAGAAUCAGAGGUGUUUAGGGCCCAGAACAAUAACUUCAGUUUUGUUUGAGUAUAACAGCGGAAAAUUGUAGGCCAUCCAUGAUUUCAUAUCUUUAAUGCAUACUUGAUGUUUAGCUAACUGACUGGUUUUGCCUGGCUUGAUUGAUAAGUAUAAUUGGGUGUCAUCCACAUAACAGCGAAAGUAAAUUGAGUGUUUCCUAAUAUUAUUGCGUAGAGGAAGCAUGUAUAAGGAGAAUAGAAUUGAUCCAAGCACUGAGCCUUGUGGAACGCCAUGGCUAACUUUUGUUUACCUAGAGGAUUGAUUAUCAACAUUAAGAAAUUGAGAUUGAUCAGAUGAAUAGGACUUAAACCAAUUGAGUGCAAUUCCUUUUAUGCCAACUAAAUGUUCCAAUCUCUGUAACAGGAUAGUAUGGUCAAUAGUGUUGAAUGCUGCAAUAAGAUCUACUAAGACAAGUACGGAGGCAAGUCCUUUGUCAGCAGCAGUUAGAAGAUCAUUAGUAAUUUUCCCCAGUGCCGGCUCUGCUAUGAUGCAUUCUAAAUCCCGACUUAAAGUCCUCAAAUAAACUAUUGCUAUGUAGAACAUCACAUAACUGAUUACCGACUACCUUCUCAAGGAUCUCGUCUCUCUCUGAUCAU